rnacentral:rRNA from 1 species
UACAGAGGGUGCAAACGUUGCUCGGAAUUAUUGGGCGUAAAGCGCGUGUAGGCGGCUUGUUAAGUCGGUUGUGAAAACCCAUGGCUCAACCAUGGAAGUGCGUCCGAAACUGGCAAGCUCGAGUCUUGACGAGGAUGGCGGAAUUCCCAGUGUAGAGGUGAAAUUCGUAGAUAUUGGGAGGAACACCGGUGGCGAAGGCGGCCAUCUGGGAAGGUACUGACGCUGAGACGCGAAAGCGUGGGGAGCAAACAGG